rnacentral:misc_RNA from 1 species
UUAGGACAAAGGCGAUAACGGCUGCUCAAGAGGUUGUGAGGUGUGCGUUGCCAUUGAGUAUUAGGAAGAAUCCUGAGAAGGCUCGAGGGAUACGAAUAACUAUUGGUAUGUUGUCUCAUGUUCAUGCUAGAGCUCAUGAACACGUGCUUUUGCCUUCGGUAGCUAAGAUUACUGAGUUGAAAUCUGAGGGAAGGAGGGAUGUUGAAAACGGGAAGUAUGAUCUUUGUGUGUGUACUAUGGUGUGGAAUCAAGGUUCAGCGCUUCGUGAAUGGAUUACAUAUCAUUCUUGGCUUGGAGUUGAGAGGUGGUUUAUCUACGACAAUAAUAGCGAUGACAAUAUCAAGGAUGUGAUUGAAGAGCUUGAGAUUGAGAAUUACAAUGUUACACGACAUGUUUGGCCGUGGAUCAAGACUCAAGAAGCAGGCUUUUCGCAUUGUGCUCUUAGAGCGAAGAAAGAAUGUAAUUGGGUAUCGUUCAUGGAUGUGGAUGAGUAUUUCUACUUUCCGUAUUCUACUCCAGGGCAUCAAAGUUUGAGAAGCUCAGGUUACGCGGGACAGGAUUCCCUUCGAUCCCUCGUGGCAAAUGUAUCAUCAUCUUCACCAGGAAUUGCGGAGAUUAGAACAACUUGCCAUAGUUUUGGACCGUCUGGUCUGAAUUCAGCUCCUUCUCAGGGUAUCACUGUUGGAUAUACUUGUCGUCUUAAGAGUCCCGAGAGACACAAAUCAAUCAUACGUCCCGAUGCUUUGGACACCACUCUCCUCAAUGUGGUGCAUCAUUUCCACUUGAGGAAAGGAUUUAGCUACAUGAAUUUGCCACAAAGUACUGCAGUGAUAAACCACUACAAAUACCAAGUGUGGGAGGUAUUCAGGGCGAAAUUUUUCAGACGAGUAGCUACAUAUGUCGUCGAUUGGCAGAACAAUCAAAAUGAAGGAUCAAGGGAUAGAGCACCUGGUUUAGGGACAGAGGCCAUUGAGCCACCAAAUUGGCCAUUACAAUUCUGUGAAGUUUGGGAUACCGGCCUUCGAGACUUUGUUUUGUCAAACUUUGCUGAUUUAUCAACUGGUUUGUUGCCUUGGGAGAAGUCUUCUUUCUAAUCACUGAGUCCCGAUAACUAUCGUAGAGAAAGGAAGUCUAGAAGCCAGGGCUUUGUUCACCUUUGGACACGAGCACUAUUCCAUUCUCGGGGGAAAUCCGUCUUGGAGAUUGAACAACAAUAAGAUGAGUCAACGUUCAAUCUAAGCUAGGGAGCUUGAACAAAGGCUCAAAGCCAAUCCCACGGAAUAGUAAAGCUUCACAGGGUCUUUCUGUCCAGGUGCAGG